rnacentral:rRNA from 1 species
AUUGAACGCUGGCGGAAUGCUUUACACAUGCAAGUCGAGCGGCAGUGCGGGGGCAACCCUGGCGGCGAGCGGCGAACGGGUGAGUAAUACAUCGGAACGUACCCUGUCGUGGGGGAUAACUAACCGAAAGGUUGGCUAAUACCGCAUACGACCUGAGGGUGAAAGCGGGGGAUCGCAAGACCUCGCGCGAUAGGAGCGGCCGAUGGCAGAUUAGCUAGUUGGUGAGGUAAAGGCUCACCAAGGCGACGAUCUGUAGCGGGUCUGAGAGGACGGCCCGCCACACUGGAACUGAGACACGGUCCAGACUCCUACGGGAGGCAGCAGUGGGGAAUUUUGGACAAUGGGGGCAACCCUGAUCCAGCCAUUCCGCGUGAGUGAAGAAGGCCUUCGGGUUGUAAAGCUCUUUCGGCAGGAACGAAAAGGCGGGCUCUAACAUAGCCUGUUGAUGACGGUACCUGAAGAAGAAGCACCGGCUAACUACGUGCCAGCAGCCGCGGUAA